GACGAACGCUGGCGGCGUGCUUAACACAUGCAAGUCGAACGGUAAGGCCCUUCGGGGUACACGAGUGGCGAACGGGUGAGUAACACGUGGGUGAUCUGCCCUGCACUUCGGGAUAAGCCUGGGAAACUGGGUCUAAUACCGGAUAGGACCACUGCCUGCAUGGGUGGUGGUGGAAAGCUUUUGCGGUGUGGGAUGGGCCCGCGGCCUAUCAGCUUGUUGGUGGGGUGAUGGCCUACCAAGGCGACGACGGGUAGCCGGCCUGAGAGGGUGACCGGCCACACUGGGACUGAGAUACGGCCCAGACUCCUACGGGAGGCAGCAGUGGGGAAUAUUGCACAAUGGGCGCAAGCCUGAUGCAGCGACGCAGCGUGAGGGAUGACGGCCUUCGGGUUGUAAACCUCUUUCAGCACCGACGAAGCGCAAGUGACGGUAGGUGCAGAAGAAGGACCGGCCAAUUACGUGCCAGCCGCCGCGGUAA
rnacentral:rRNA from 1 species